rnacentral:rRNA from 1 species
GAUGAACGCUGGCGGCGUGCCUAAUACAUGCAAGUCGAGCGAACAGACGAGGAGCUUGCACCUCUGACGUUAGCGGCGGACGGGUGAGUAACACGUGGAUAACCUACCUAUAAGACUGGGAUAACUUCGGGAAACCGGAGCUAAUACCGGAUAAUAUAUUGAACCGCAUGGUUCAAUAGUGAAAGACGGUUUUGCUGUCACUUAUAGAUGGAUCCGCGCCGCAUUAGCUAGUUGGUAAGGUAACGGCUUACCAAGGCGACGAUGCGUAGCCGACCUGAGAGGGUGAUCGGCCACACUGGAACUGAGACACGGUCCAGACUCCUACGGGAGGCAGCAGUAGGGAAUCUUCCGCAAUGGGCGAAAGCCUGACGGAGCAACGCCGCGUGAGUGAUGAAGGUCUUCGGAUCGUAUAACUCUGUUAUUAGGGAAGAACAAAUGUGUAAGUAACUAUGCACGUCUUGACGGUACCUAAUCAGAAAGCCACGGCUAACUACGUG